AGAGUUUGAUCCUGGCUCAGGACGAACGCUUGCGACGUGCCUAAGAAAUGCAAGUCGAACGGGGGAGCAAUCCCCAGUGGCGAACGGUCGCGUAACACGUGGGCAACCUGCCCUGGAGUGUGGGACAACAGAUCGAAAGGUCUGCUAAUACCUCAUGUGGAGGGAGAGGGCAUCCUCUCUUGUCCAAAGGAUUUAUUCGCUCCAGGAUGGGCCCGCGGCCUAUCAGCUAGUUGGUGGGGUAACGGCCUACCAAGGCUUCGACGGGUAGCUGGUCUGAGAGGACGAUCAGCCGGAUUGGGACUGAGACACGGCCCAGACUCCUACGGGGGGCAGCAAUUAGGAAUCUUGCGCAAUGGGGGAAACCCUGACGCAGCGACGUCGCGUGGAGGACGAAAUCUUUCGGGAUGUAAACUCCUUUUGCGAGGGAAGAAGAAUGUGACGGUACCUCGCGAAUAAGCCCCGGCUAACUACGUGCCAGCAGCCGCGGUAAUACGUAGGGGGCGAGCGUUGUCCGAAGUUACUGGGCGUAAAGAGCGCGUAGGCGGGCUCCUAAGUGAGGGGUGAAAGGUUCGGGCUUAACCCGGAGAGUGCCUUUCAUACUGGGAGCCUUGAGUGCGGGAGAGGCAAGUGGAAUGGUCGGUGUAGCGGUGAAAUGCGUAGAUAUCGAUCGGAACACCCGUGGCGAAGGCGGCUUGCUGGCCUGCAACUGACGCUGAGGCGCGAAAGCGUGGGGAGCAAACAGGAUUAGAUACCCCGGUAGUCC
rnacentral:rRNA from 1 species